rnacentral:rRNA from 1 species
UGGGGAAUAUUGGACAAUGGGCGAAAGCCUGAUCCAGCCAUGCCGCGUGUGUGAAGAAGGUCUUCGGAUUGUAAAGCACUUCAAGUUGGGAGGAAGGGCAGUAAGCGAAUACCUUGCUGUUUUGACGUUACCGACAGAAUAAGCACCGGCUAACUCUGUGCCAGCAGCCGCGGUAAUACAGAGGGUGCGAGCGUUAAUCGGAUUUACUGGGCGUAAAGCGUGCGUAGGCGGCUAAUUGAGUCGGAUGUGAAAUCCCCGAGCUUAACUUGGGAAUUGCAUUCGAUACUGGUUAGCUAGAAUGUGGGAGAGGAUGGUAGAAUUCCAGGUGUAGCGGUGAAAUGCGUAGAGAACUGGAGGAAUACCGAUGGCGAAGGCAGCCAUCUGGCCUAACACUGACGCUGAGGUAGGAAAGCAUGGGGAGCAAACAGG